GACGGAGGGUGCUAGCGUUGUUCGGAAUUACUGGGCGUAAAGGGCGCGUAGGCGGCUUUGGCAGUCGGGUGUGAAAGCCCGGGGCUCAACCCCGGAACGGCACCCGAUACUCCGAGGCUCGAGACCGGGAGAGGAGGGUGGAAUACCCGGUGUAGAGGUGAAAUUCGUAGAUAUUGGGUGGAACACCGGUGGCGAAAGCGGCUCUCUGGCCCGGUUCUGACGCUGAGGCGCGAAAGCGUGGGGAGCAAACAGG
rnacentral:rRNA from 1 species